rnacentral:rRNA from 1 species
CCUACGGGCGGCAGCAGUGGGGAAUAUUGCACAAUGGGGGAAACCCUGAUGCAGCGACGCCGCGUGAGUGAAGAAGUAAUUCGUUAUGUAAAGCUCUAUCAGCAGGGAAGAAAAUGACGGUACCUGAGUAAGAAGCCCCGGCUAACUACGUGCCAGCAGCCGCGGUAAUACGUAGGGGGCAAGCGUUAUCCGGAUUUACUGGGUGGAAAGGGAGCGUAGACGGCAGUGCAAGUCUGGAGUGAAAGGCGGGGGCUCAACCCCCGGACUGCUCUGGAAACUGUACGGCUGGAGUGCAGGAGAGGUAAGUGGAAUUCCUAGUGUAGCGGUGAAAUGCGUAGAUAUUAGGAGGAACACCAGUGGCGAAGGCGGCUUACUGGACUGUAACUGACGUUGAGGCUCGAAAGCGUGGGGCGCAAACAGGAUUAGAUACCCCAGUAGUC